rnacentral:rRNA from 1 species
GAACGCAAGUUGCGCCCGAAGCCUUCUGGCCGAGGGCACGCCUGCCUGGGCGUCACG